rnacentral:rRNA from 1 species
GAUGAACGCUGGCGGCGUGCCUAAUACAUGCAAGUCGAGCGAACAGACGAGGAGCUUGCUCCUCUGACGUUAGCGGCGGACGGGUGAGUAACACGUGGAUAACCUACCUAUAAGACUGGGAUAACUUCGGGAAACCGGAGCUAAUACCGGAUAAUAUAUUGAACCGCAUGGUUCAAUAGUGAAAGACGGUUUUGCUGUCACUUAUAGAUGGAUCCGCGCCGCAUUAGCUAGUUGGUAAGGUAACGGCUUACCAAGGCGACGAUGCGUAGCCGACCUGAGAGGGUGGUCGGCCACACUGGAACUGAGACACGGUCCAGACUCCUACGGGAGGCAGCAGUAGGGAAUCUUCCGCAAUGGGCGAAAGCCUGACGGAGCAACGCCGCGUGAGUGAUGACGGUCUUCGGCUCGUAAACCUCUGUUAUUAGGGAAGAACAAAUGUGUAAGUAACUAUGCACGUCUUGACGGUACCUAAUCAGAAAGCCACGGCUAACUACGUG